rnacentral:rRNA from 1 species
GACGAACGCUGGCGGCGUGCUUAACACAUGCAAGUCGAACGAAGUGGCGAACGGGUGAGUAAUACGUGGGUAACCUGCCCUCCUUUUUGGGAUAAGCCUUGGUAACGGGGUCUAUUACCGAAUAAAGGGGGAUGGGCUCGGGGCCUAUCAGCUUGUUGGUGGGGGGAGGGCCUCCCAAGGCGGUGACGGGUAGACGGCCUGAGUGGGAAACAGGCCACAUGGGGACUAAGCAACGGCCCAGACUCCUACGGGGAGGAGCAGGGGGGGAUGUUGCACGAUGGGCGAAAGCCGGAUGCAGCGACGCCGCGUGGGGGAUGAAGGCGUUCGGGUUGUAAACCUCUUACGCUAUCGAAGGGGUAGGUGGAGAAGAAGCGCCAGCUAACUACGUACCAGCAGCCGCGGUAAUUC